AUCCAGUUAACGAAUCCCACAUAAGACGAAACGCGCGUCCUGGAU
rnacentral:hammerhead_ribozyme from 1 species